ACCAUCUGGAACACCUACAAUUUUUAUCCACAAUGUCUACAAUUCAAUCAACAAGUAUUAGACUUCUCAAGAUAUGGGGAAAUAUAACUGAAAAUCAAGAACAUAGAAGACUUAUACAUGAUUCAGAUAUUGGAAUAUGCUCACAAACACUUUAAAAUAAUAUGAUUAAGAUUUUUAAAGAUGGGCCAGCCCCAGUGGCCUACGGGUUAAGUUAAGCGCACUCUGCUUUGGCAGCUCAGGUUGGGGUCCUGGGUAUAGACCUACACCACUCAUCAGUGGCCAUGCUGUGGCAGUGGCCCACAGACAAAAAGCAGAGGAAGAUUGGCAACAGAUGUUAGCUCAGGGCAAAUCUUCCUGAGCAUAAAAAGAAGAUUUUUAAACAAAUAGCACAAGAUGGAGAAAGUAGUUUUUACCAAAAAAUUGGAACUGAAAAAAAUCAAAUGGUAAAUCUAAAACUGAAAAAUUCAAUAACAGAAAUAAACAAUCACUUGGCAUAAUAAGAAAUUAGACAACAGCAGGAGACAGGAUUGGUGAACAGUUAAGACAAGUCAAAAGAAAACAUACAAGCUAAAGCAUAGAGAAAAAAAUGAAAAUUAUAGAAGAAAGAGUGAGAGUCAUUUGGGACCCGGUGAAAAGAUCUCAUAUUCAGAUGGAAUUUCAGGAAAAGAAGAGAGACAAUUCAAAAGAGAGUUGAUAAAAGACAUCAACAUAUAUAUUCAAGAUGUUCUGGAAACUCUAAGAAAAAAAUAAAGUAAAACCUAGUUUAUUUAGUAAAAUGGCUGAACCUCAACGACAGAGAAAAUCUUAAAAGCAGCUAGAGAAUAAAUAUACGUUACCUUCAACAGAGCAACAAUAAAAUAGGUGACUUCUCAGCAUAAACAAAGACAUCUUUAAUGCACUGCAAAAUUAUUGCCAACCUCGAUCUGCUCUAAAAGAAAUCAGAGUGUUCUUCAAGCAGAAUGAUAAUUUCAGAGGGAAAUAAGGAAAAGAAGGAAAUUAUGGAAAACAGGAGAAGAGGCAGCUGGCAAAUUCUUGAGCUGCACAGGCAGAAGAUAAGAAACUAGGCGGAAAGCUCCUGGUGGUCGAACAGGAAUUUUCUACAGUUUACAGCGCUGAAAAGACAAAAAUUGGGGUUCAAGACCUACUGAGGAGAGGCACUCUGGUAAAUACCUCAUCAUCUCAGCUGGAAACCCUAGAGGGCUCCACCUCAUUAGAUGGGGCAAAGCAGAAGUAGAGAGAAAUAUAAACCAGGCUAUAUUCACACAAUCAAAUAAUAAAUAGCAAUGAGAAUGAAUGACUCAUUGCUGGGUGCAAUAAUGUGGAUGUUUCUCAAAAGCACAUGUUGAGCUAAAGAAGCCACAGAAAUAAGCUCUUAACAUAUGAUUCCAUUUGUAUGAAGUUCAAAAGUAGGCAAAGCUAAUCUCUAGUAUUAGAAAUCAGGAUAAUAUUCACUUUGAGAGGAAGCAAUGAGUAAGAGGGAGAGGGAGAUUUCUUGAUUGCUGGUCUUGUUUCAUUUCUUGAUCUGUAAGCAUAAUUUUACAAUGUGAAAAUGUUUCCAAUAUGUGUAUUAUUUGAGAAUAUUUACACAUGUAUUUUAUAUCUCAGUGAAAAUUUACUUAAUAAAAGGAACUUUAAAAUCGAGUGAAUAUUUGAACACUUAGAUCUUUAAUGUC
ensembl:lncRNA